CCAACGCACAAAACUGUUUGUCACUAGUCGAAACUUCGUUAAUCACAUAGCUACAUGAAAGUUCUGCACGCAAGUCGUCAAUACUAAAUAACUCGUUACUGCUCCACGUUUUCUCGUCUUUAUCACGUUUAAGCUUGUACAUGGCAUAAGACUCCAUGUGAGACAAUACCAUCACUCGUUUCUUAGAAACAAAUUUAGCCAAAUGAAUUGAGGCCCCGUGAUUAAUCACAUGUAAAAGAGGAUCUUCUUCGGGAUCAGUCGAGUCCUCUUCCUUAGUAGUAUCUAGUAAACUCACCAGACCGUCUACUGACCCAGUAAGAAGCAACUCAUUGUCUUUUGGAUGAAAUUGCAAAUGAGUAAUAUCGUCAUUAUGUGCAUCGUUCCAUUGUCUAAUUAACUUUUGUUCACUUCUAACGUCCCACAAUUGUACAGAAGCCAACGAACGAGUUAACUCUGAACCCGUUGCAAACUGGUUCUUUUUAUUCAAGGCGAUGCAGGUAAAGGGGGUAGAUUGUUGAGUCCACGAUCGAACUGCAGAUUUCGCCUGCGAACGAAUAUCCCACAAAUGUAUCUCUCCUUCGGAGCCACAAGUUAUUACGCCGUUCAACUGAUCGCAACUAAUGAUUCCAGUAAUAUUCGUGUGCGCUUUAGGCACUUUAAAAAUUUCAAGUAAGGUUCCCUUGUCAAAACAGCUCCACGAACCAGUAGAGUAGCUCACCACCACAUUGUCCUUCAACUGUUCAAUGUCAUAAAUAAAACAUUCAUCUUCAUUGCUCACUCGAACAGACGAGCUUGCAGUAACCAUAUUAUAAGGAGCCAAGUGACCUUUGACUUCACGAACCAACUAAAAAAAUUUCAGAC